rnacentral:rRNA from 1 species
AGUGGGGGAUAACGUAGCGAAAGUUACGCUAAUACCGCAUAUUCUGUGAGCAGGAAAGCAGGGGAUCGCAAGACCUUGCGCUUUCGGAGCGGCCGAUGUCGGAUUAGCUAGUUGGUGAGGUAAAAGCUCACCAAGGCGACGAUCCGUAGCUGGUCUUAGAGGAUGAUCAGCCACACUGGGACUGAGACACGGCCCAGACUCCUACGGGAGGCAGCAGUGGGGAAUUUUGGACAAUGGGGGCAACCCUGAUCCAGCCAUGCCGCGUGAGUGAAGAAGGCCUUCGGGUUGUAAAGCUCUUUCGGACAGAAAGAAAUCGCAUCGGCUAAUACUCGAUGUGGAUGACGGUACUGUCAUAAGAAGCACCGGCUAACUACGUGCCAGCAGCCGCGGUAAUACGUAGGGUGCGAGCGUUAAUCGGAAUUACUGGGCGUAAAGCGUGCGCAGGCGGUUUUGAAAGACAGGCGUGAAAUCCCCGGGCUCAACCUGGGAACUGCGCUUGUGACUUCAAGACUAGAGUACGGCAGAGGGGGGUAGAAUUCCA